AUUGAACGCUGGCGGCAGGCUUAACACAUGCAAGUCGAGCGGGGAAAGGUAGCUUGCUACCUGACCUAGCGGCGGACGGGUGAGUAAUGCUUAGGAAUCUGCCUAUUAGUGGGGGACAACAUCUCGAAAGGGAUGCUAAUACCGCAUACGUCCUACGGGAGAAAGCAGGGGACCUUCGGUCCUUGCGCUAAUAGAUGAGCCUAAGUCGGAUUAGCUAGUUGGUGGGGUAAAGGCCUACCAAGGCGACGAUCUGUAGCGGGUCUGAGAGGAUGAUCCGCCACACUGGGACUGAGACACGGCCCAGACUCCUACGGGAGGCAGCAGUGGGGAAUAUUGGACAAUGGGGGGAACCCUGAUCCAGCCAUGCCGCGUGUGUGAAGAAGGCCUUUUGGUUGUAAAGCACUUUAAGCGAGGAGGAGGCUACCGAGAUUAAUACUCUUGGAUAGUGGACGUUACUCGCAGAAUAAGCACCGGCUAACUCUGUG
rnacentral:rRNA from 1 species